GGGCUACCCGAAGUGGUGAAGGGACUGGUUUGUGACACCAGUGUUCACGAGUAUUGCCUUUGGCAACGCUUCGCGAACAACUCUCGUCAGUCACCCCA
rnacentral:tRNA from 1 species